UACGAGGGGGGCGAGCGUUGUUCGGAAUUAUUGGGCGUAAAGGGUGCGUAGGCGGUUUGGUAAGUCUUGUGUGAAAUCUUCGGGCUCAACUCGAAGUCUGCACGAGAAACUGCCGGGCUUGAGUAUGGGAGAGGUGAGUGGAAUUCCCGGUGUAGCGGUGAAAUGCGUAGAUAUCCGGAGGAACACCGGUGGCGAAGGCGGCUUCCUGGACCGACACUGACGCUGAGGCGCGAAAGCUAGGGGAGCAAACAGG
rnacentral:rRNA from 1 species